UAUUCCCUCUCAGUCUUUGUUUUGCUAGGCUGAACAAGGAAAGCUGUUUUAGUUGUCUUUAAUAAUAUAGGCUUCCCAUUCCCUAGAUCAUCACCCUAGUCAUCAUUGUCCAUACCUGCUGCAGGACACAAUGGGAUCUAAUGAGUGGUUCCACAAUCAAGCCUCCUUCUGCUAUGCACAUGUGGCAUGGCAGAAGGCCCAAUUGUGUGGAUCAUGCAUUUGAUCCCAUUGCACCUUUAUCUGAACAUGUAGAGGGGCCCUGAAAUACAGAAGCUCUCUUUGUACUCUAUUUGAGUGUGUGGUGAAGAUGACUAUAUCACAUAUUCAUAGACCUCCACCCCAUAGACCUAACAACUCUCAUGCAAUACUUCUCUCCAUCUUGAAACUGCUGAGCGAAGAGCACCUCCUCAAGCCACCACACAGGAUGAAGACCCUAUAGGACCAAAGGAGAAGACUCUGAAUGGCAUCUUUAACACAAGGAAUUCUUGGUGUGUGUUAGAAUAAAAAUACAUUCCCACACA
rnacentral:lncRNA from 1 species